rnacentral:tRNA from 1 species
GGGGUUGUAGCUUAGUGGUAGAGCGUUUGCCUCACAUGCAUGAAGGUUGGAUCCUCAGCACCA